rnacentral:rRNA from 1 species
GACGAACGCUGGCGGCGUGCUUAAUACAUGCAAGUCGAACGGAAAGGCCCUGCCUUUGUGUGGUGCUCGAUUGGCGAACGGUUGCGUAAGACGUGAGUAACCUGCCCUUGACUUUGGGAUAACGUCAGGAAACUGGGGCUAAUACUGGAUAGUAGCUCCUGCUGCAUGGUGGGGGAUGGAAAGUUUCGGGGGUUGGGUAUGGACUCGCGGCUUGUCAGCCUGGUGGUGGGGUAGUUGGUUACCAAGGUAAUGACGGGCAGCAGGCCUGAGAGGGUGACCGGCCACGUUGGGACUGGGAUACGGCACAGACGCCUACGGGGGGCAGGAGUGGAGAAUAUUGCAGAAAGGGCGGAAGCCUGAUGCAGCAUCGCCGAGUGUGGGAUGAUGGCGUUCGAGUUGUAAGCCGCUUUCGCCUGAGACGACGCGUGGGGAACGGAAAUGAGUAGAGAGGGACCGGCUAACUACGU